AUUGAACGCUGGCGGCAUGCUUUACACAUGCAAGUCGAACGGCAGCGCGGGCUUCGGCCUGGCGGCGAGUGGCGAACGGGUGAGUAAUACAUCGGAACGUGCCCAGUAGUGGGGGGUAGCUCGGCGAAAGCCGGAUUAAUACCGCAUACGACCUGAGGGUGAAAGCGGGGGAUCUUCGGACCUCGCGCUAUUUGAGCGGCCGAUGGCAGAUUAGCUAGUUGGUGGGGUAAAGGCCUACCAAGGCGACGAUCUGUAGCUGGUCUGAGAGGACGACCAGCCACACUGGGACUGAGACACGGCCCAGACUCCUACGGGAGGCAGCAGUGGGGAAUUUUGGACAAUGGGCGAAAGCCUGAUCCAGCAAUGCCGCGUGUGUGAUGAAGGCCUUCGGGUUGUAAAGCACUUUUGGCGGGAACGAAAAGGACUGUGCCAAUACCACGGUUCGAUGACGGUACCCGCAGAAUAAGCACCGGCUAACUACGUG
rnacentral:rRNA from 1 species